GCGAAAGCGAGUCUGAAUAGGGCGUAUAGUUCCAGGGAUUAGACGCGAAGCGGGAUGAGCUAGCCAUGGGCAGGUUGAAGCUUGGGUAACACCAAGUGGAGGACCGAACCAUUGAAGGUUGAAAACUUCUUGGAUGACCUGUGGCUAGGGGUGAAAGACCAAUCAAAUUCCGUAAUAGCUCGUACUCCCCGAAAUAGCUUUAGGGCUAGCGUCAUGUGUUUCUUAUCGGAGGUAGAGAACUGGAAGGACUAGGGGCCCAACCGGGUUACUGAAUCCUAUCAAACUCCGAAUGCCGAUAAGGUCGAGCAUGGCAGUCAGACUGUGGGUGACAAGAUCCAUUGUCGAGAGGGAAAGAACCCAGAUCCUCAGCUAAGGUCCUUAAGUAAGUGCUAAGUGGAAAAGGAUGUGGAAGCGCUUAGACAACCAGGAUGUUGGCUUAGAAGCAGCCAUC
rnacentral:rRNA from 1 species